GACGAACGCUGGCGGCGUGCUUAACACAUGCAAGUCGAACGGACCUUCGGGUUAGUGGCGAACGGGUGAGUAACACGUGGGUGAUCUGCCCUGCACUUUGGGAUAAGCCUGGGAAACUGGGUCUAAUACCGGAUAGGACUACGCACUGCAUGGUGUGUGGUGGAAAGCUUUUGCGGUGUGGGAUGGGCCCGCGGCCGAUCAGCUUGUUGGUGGGGUGAUGGCCUACCAAGGCGACGACGGGUAGCCGGCCUGAGAGGGUGACCGGCCACACUGGGACUGAGAUACGGCCCAGACUCCUACGGGAGGCAGCAGUGGGGAAUAUUGCACAAUGGGCGCAAGCCUGAUGCAGCGACGCCGCGUGAGGGAUGACGGCCUUCGGGUUGUAAACCUCUUUCGCCAGGGACGAAGCGCAAGUGACGGUACCUGGAGAAGAAGGACCGGCCAACUACGUGCCAGCAGCCGCGGUAAUAC
rnacentral:rRNA from 1 species